ACCAAACAAAAAAACGCAUCUCCAGAUAAAUCCUCACAACAGACCCACAUUUUCUUGUGAAGAGUACAAAUCCUACAUAAUCUUUUAGCUCAAAUCAUUCUUUGGUAGCCGCCAUCACCACCAGAAGCUUUCACUUACAUUAUCAUUUAUUUUUCUCUCAAACAAAAAUGCAAGCAUCUGCUGUAGCAGCCAUGGCAGCUCACGCAAUCCUUGCAGCUUCACCUUCUUCUUACCCUCUCCUUUCCCCUCUCCCAAACCCUAAUAUUAGUCAUCACCCAGCGCUCCAUACUUCAUUCCAUGGUGUCUCCCUCAAGUUCCCUCGCCAAUCGCUAGCUCUAUCUCUCGCCGCCGCCUCCCCCAGGAAACCCCUUGCCGUCGUCGCUGCCACCAAAAAGGCCGUCGCUGUCCUUAAGGGCACCUCCAACGUUGAAGGCGUUGUUACUUUGACCCAAGAAGGCGAUGGUCCCACAACAGUGAAUGUUCGUGUCACAGGACUUACUCCAGGGCCCCAUGGGUUCCACCUACAUGAGUAUGGUGACACAACAAAUGGAUGCAUUUCUACAGGAGCGCAUUUCAAUCCUACUAACAUGACACAUGGGGCUCCUGAGGAUGAAGUCCGUCAUGCGGGUGACCUGGGAAACAUAGUUGCUAAUGCUGAUGGUGUGGCAGAAGCAACAAUUGCGGAUAAACAGAUACCAUUGGAUGGUCCUAACACAGUAAUUGGAAGAGCAUUUGUUGUGCAUGAGCUUGAAGAUGACCUUGGAAAGGGUAAACUUUUAUAUAUAUAUAUACACACAUAUUUAGCACUUAUUGCGGUAUAUGGAUGGUAGGCCCCUAUUGCACCAUGGAGGUUCCUGGGCAGUGGCAAUUUUGCAUAUGUCGACAAACAUUUUCAUCAGUAUUUUGAACUUAGCUUGCAAUUUUGACUUGCACCUGUUUAGAAACUAAUACAUUCAGUUUUUUAAACUUAGCUUUAUGUCAGUUAAUUAAAAAUUAAACCGGAAUUAUGUAGUGUUGUGGGGAGGGAGGGAUGUCGGCAUGGAUGUGAAAAUAAGUUUUAAAUGUUCACAAACUUACAAUUUUUCUCACAUUAUCUUUAGGAAAAUAAUCUCAAAAUGGUAUUCUUUUCUUUAUUCUAGUGAACUGUGCAAGGUUCAUGUAUUUAAUGUCUUUUUCCCUCCUAUAUGUUACCUGUAGGUGGGCAUGAACUUAGUUUGACUACUGGAAAUGCAGGUGGAAGAUUGGCUUGUGUCGCUGCAGUUCCCAAAAAGCGUACUUCUAUAUCAAAAAAGCGUAUUCGUAAAAAUAUUUGGAAAAGGAAAGGAUAUUGGGCAGCAUUGAAAGCCUAUUCAUUAGCAAAAUCUCUUUAUACUGGUAAAUCCAAAAGUUUUUUGUGCGACAAUUUGAAAAAGGAGUAGAUUCAUUAACUGCUAUUUAGUUCAAGUUGGUGAAAAUUUCAACAAGGUUUGGAAGGUAUUUCAAGGUGGAGUUGGGAACACGGAAUAUGAGAAUUUAGAAUUCUGAUAUUUUUGAGAGUGGGAUGAUUUCUUCAUGUAUUAGAUCGGAAAAUUUAUUCAGGUUUGUUUUGGUAGGAUGAUGAACAGCUUAUUGUAGCUUCAAUUGUUGUAGUUCCUCAGAUCCUUUUGAAGGAGCAUCUUGAACCAAGUGAAUGUCAUUAUUAUCAUGAUUUUGCUUUAAUUCAAUAUCAUAAUACUCAAUUUUGCCUAUCAAUGUCACCAGUUUUAAAUGUGUUUGUUCAAUUUUGUGCUUGUGUCAACAAUAAAAUAUGACUGUCUAAUGAAGUCAGCAUGAUUGUUGAAUUCCCUUGUAGGUUUUCAAAACUUGCAAUAAGGUUAUUUUGGCUAAUGUUUAAAACUGAAAAUAUUUUUCAUAAAUUUUACUUCUAUAACAACUGAGAAUUAUCUCAAUGGUUAUUGUCCAUCCCAUGUUAUUUGUAGAUUCAAUAAAAAGGCAAAUUAUCAAACACUGAAAUAAGAAGAGUGGACCAAAUAAGAGAACUCAAAUGUUGAAAAUGGCUAUGCACACCAGAAUAACUAACUAUUCUUGCUGUUGACAUGGACAAAAAACAAUUUUUUUGAUCAGGAAGAAAAAGGAAUUUUGGGUAAAUAGUUUUGCAAUAUUCAUUUCUAUCUAAGAAGGUAUGUUGCAUAACACUUAAUAUGCAUGCAGAGAGGAAUAUGUCCUGAUUUCAUGCAUCGCUCUUUAUCUGUGGGCGCAUGUUAUCACAUAUAAAUCAUGUCCAUGUAAAACUAGUUAGAAUAAGAAGAAGAUUGUUGACCAUAGAUGUAGACAUGUUGUAAUAUGCUUCCUGGGCAUAAUGAGCAAUGGUAGACUGUAGUCUUGUACACACUCUGUGGAGCUUCCAUGAGUGUAUUAUGUAGUCUCAGUUCCAACGUUUAUGAAUUAUUUGGGUUUCAAUAGUCUGAAUUUUCAAUGCAAAUUGCAUUUUGCUUUUCUUUGCGGCCAUACAGUUAAUCCCUCUGUUACAGCUUCAUUAACUACAUGAUUGAACUCUCCUUUUCUUGCCCCUUUGGUACCAUUUGCAUGCAGGUGUUGUUGGUUUGACUCCAAUAUAAUGGCAGCCAUUGUUCCCUGCUUGUUCUGAACCAGUCUGUUUUGUGCUAUUUGCUGCUUGCAUUUGCUGGUUACCCAUAUAUAGAGUUCAAUGUUAAUUUUCCUAGCCAAUGGUGUAAACUGUCAAGACAGCAAGUAAUAAGUACUGUUUUCAGAUGUGUAUGAUGUUCAUUGGUUUCCCUGCUAAAUAAAGUUGAUUUUCACCUGUGAAUGUGAGAACUUGUUAUUGCAACUUCCAAAUUGAUCAAAGUUGGAUCGGUGGUGUUUUUUCAUUUUCUAAAAUUUUUAAGAUAUUCUUUUCUUGUUUCUAUUGCCAUUAGAGCUGAAAGUGAACUUUGUCAGAUGCUGGAAAUUCUUACUGCUAUACAUGUAGCUAAAUAGUGUAUAUUGCUAUCAGUUGAGAGAGGAAUGCAAUGGUGGAACUCGUUGAUUAUGUGCGCACGUGGAACAGAGUGUGUUGGUUUGGCAAUGGGCUAGUAGCGCAGUUAUGGUGCAGUGCAGGGCCAGGAGGUCAGGGAACAACUCCUAUUUCUAAAAUACCAAAAAAAAAAAAGGGUUUUGUAUUGGUCUGCCAGACAUCAUCUGGUGUGUUGGUCGGGAUCCACAAGCAUGGAAGGCCUGGGCUGGGCUGCAGACCAAUUUUCGUUGGAUAAUGGUGAAAUUUCAGAGCCAUUUCAUUAAAAGAGAAUUUGACUUGUACAACAAACAUUGAAAGACCUUAACAAAUUGAAGUAGGCAAAGUAUGGCAAUGAGUUAGGAUGGUUGGGUGUCUUCUAGGUAAAGCGGGGGGAAGAGAACAAAGUAUAGAGUGAAGGAAAGAGUGGCGGGUGAAUCUUAACACAGUAUGAUGUUGGAGUUGGCAUGAAGUCACUGUCAUUGGAAGAUGAAGAGUUGGAUGGCCACCUUUGUCUUCAAUUUUCUUGUAUAUGUAUGUGCAUUAGUUACAACUUCCAAAGUGGUACCACCAUUGCAAGUACGUCUCCAGCCACCUACGCCACCAUGUGUAUAGAUAGGUGAGGGACUGUAAUUAGUGACGGUUCUGUUCAUGUUUAUAAUUUUUUUUUUUAGUUUAAGAAAUUUUUAAAUGGAAUAAAGACCG
rnacentral:misc_RNA from 1 species